ensembl:lncRNA
UUGGAGAAGACUCUUGAGAGUUCCUUGGACAGCAAGGAGAUCCAACCUGUCAAAGUUAAAGGAAAUCAGUCCUGAAUAUUCAUUGGAAGGACUGAUGCUGAAGCUGAAACUCCACCUGAUGCAAAGAACAGACUCAUUUGAAAAUACCCUGAUGCUGGGAAAGAUUGAAGGCAGGAGGAGAAGGGGACGAUAGAGGAUGAGAUAGUUGGAUGGCAUCACCAACUCUAUGGACAUGAGUAAACUCCGGGAGUUGGUGAUGGACAGGGAUGGACAGGGAGGCCUGGCGUGUUGCAGUCCAUGGGGUCACAAAGAGUCGGACACGACUGCACGACUGAAUUGAACCAGAGAUCGAACCCAGGACCCCUGCGUUGAGAGCACAGAGUCUUAGGCACCAGGGAAAUCCCAAGACCUUACUAGUUUUUAAGCUCCUUAAGGACCACCUACCUGAUCCAACCGUAUCAUUCUCCUGAAAAACCCUGAAGGCUCCUCACUGACUUCCAAAUUAGGUACCAUGGGGUUAUACAUUUGUGCAUCACAGAAGUAUGUGGCCCCUGAGACAGUAUAUAAGCUCUACAUUUCUGGAAAACAGCAACAGCUAAGGAAACCCUCACCAUGUUUGUUCUGCAAAUGGGUAACUACAAAAGACCAGUCUGUCUUCCAUGGAAUAUUCCAAGAUGGCCAGUGCCGAGUAACGUGGGAGAAUAAACUUGUGGCUGCUUCACUUCACAAACACCCAGGAGGGACAUCUUGAUGUAGACAAGCUCCUGAAACAAAUGUACACUGUGCCAUCACCAGCACGGAUACACUGAAAACACCCUUGCCGGCACAGACCUUCCCUAUAACAAGGGUUAUUUAUGUCCUUGGGUAUGGCCCUAACCCACAAACCUCUGCCUGCUGUCCCUCAGAGUAUCUUAAAAAGGCUAAAUUACAUGUGAAAAGAUGAUCAAUGUCGCUAAUCAUCCGGGAAAUACAAUGAGAUAUCACCUUACACCUGUCAGAAUAGCCAUCAUCAAAAAGGACACAAAUAACAAACGUGGACGAGGUAUGGAGAAAAGGGGGCUCCUCUACAUUGUUGGUGGGAAUGUGAACUGGUGCAGCCACUGUGGAAAAAAGUAUGGAGGUUUCUCACAAAACUAAAAAUAGAACUACCAUAUGACCCAGAAAUUAUACUGCUGGGUAUAUAUCUGAAAAACAGAAGCACUAAUUUAAAAAGAUAAAUGUAUCCCAGUGUUCGUAGCAGCAUUAUUUACAGUGCCAAGAUAUGGAAGCAGCAGAAGUGUCCAUCACAGAGGAAAGGAUAAGGAAGACAUGACGUAUAUAUAUAUUUGCACACACACACACACAUAUGCACGAUGGAAUGUUACCUGCCCAUAAAAAAGAACAAAAUUUUGCCAUUUGCAGCAACACGGAUAGACUUGGAGGUCAUUAUGCUAAGUGAAAUAAGUCCGAGAAAGACAAUACUAUCGAUCACAUAUAGAUAGUGAUAGAUUUAUAGAUCGCUAGGUGUAUAGACAGCUCGCUCUAUCGAUAUAUUUAUCUAUUGAUAGAUCUAUAGUGAUAGGUAGAUAGAUAGUGAUAGAUAGAUAAAUAUAACAAACUUGUGAAUAAAGCAAAAAAAAAGAAGCAGAAUCACAGAAACAGAGGAGAGACUAAUGGGGGGGAGGGGAGGCCAUAUAGGGAUAGGAGAUUAUACAAUUUAAAAAAGGGUUAUUAUGGCAUUAUAUGAAAUCAUGUGUGUGAAGCUUUUGAAAAUUGUAAAGCACUACAGAACUGAACAAAUCUUUCAUUCAAUAAAAAAGGAAGGUUAAAUCAUCUUACCCCAACACUGGUUGCAAUAAUAGGAUUCUACAGUGCUGAUUAGUCCCAACCCAUUCACCCCAAUAACUCAUAUUUAUUAGUACAUGGCGACUGAACAAUAAAGCAUUUACCAC